CUCAAGUCAGAAAAAUCUCCUGAGGGUCCUGGGCCAGAGUGGGGAGAUGAGGGAAUUCACCUCACCUCCAACCCCCUCCUCCUUCCCUUGUGGGGCCCCCUUAGGAAGAACCAAAGCUAGCCUAGGAAUGGAGCAGAAAAGGCAGGGACCAUCUCCCAGAGUCAGAGGGAGGUGACUGACACAUCACAAAGGGACCAGGAGGAAGGCUGGGCACCCAGUGCAGCCUCCUUCAGGCAUAGUAGACUGGGCACUUGUGUGGAAGGCAAUCGGUGAGGACAAAGAGGAUCACAUGAUCAAGUCAUGGGACAUGGGGACACACACUUGUAUGGUGUGGUGGAUAUCUGCCUGGCUACUUAGCUCUCCUUCCUUUCAUUCUCAUCCCAUUACACAAAUCCCAUUACACAGUCUCAAACACCACAUCCUGGGGGUCACCACCAGCCUGGCCAUCCAGUUCAGGAAACAUGGAAAUCGAGGAUAGGUCAGUCAUCAUGCUCAUAAUGUCCAGCACCUUUCUCUGUUUCUUGGACUGAUUCAGAUCUGGGGACAACACUGCAAGGGCAGUGAUUCCUCUGUCCUCAUCAGAUGAGGACAGAGCCAACACUGGGAUGGUAUGGUGCCAGAGUGGAGUCACCCAAGGAAGUGCUGCUGCUGCCAGGCUGUACCCCUGGGUGAGCUUCCUUCAGUGCAGGUUGACCCAUCUAGGUGGCUCAAGCCUGCUCCUCCUGGCUCCUCUGCUGAGAUGUCCUGCUGAGUGCUGGCCUCCCUGUCUCCAGGGUCUGCAUCUCCUCGCUUAUCCGAUGAUUCCUCUUCAGUUAGCAUCCCUCUCAGUUUCCCACCCACUUCAGCCCAGACAGCCAGGUGGGGGAAGUCUUGUUCUCUCCUUUAAUGUUUUCCUGGAGCAGUUUCUGCUGAGAGUCCUCAAGGCCUCUUGUCCCUACAGUCAGAGCUAUAGGGACACCCCCACCCACCCCUAUACUCCCUUGGAACAAGAGUCCAAGACAACCGACUGCUUCACUAGGACAGGAGGGAAUCUGAGAGGAGGAAGGGUAAAGACAA
rnacentral:lncRNA from 1 species